UGGUGGGCAGCUUUUAGUAACUUAGUAUUAGAAACUUUAUGGAUAGGCCAUUACCAGUUACAACAACAAAAACAACAAUUCUUUGCUCCAGCAAAAAUUAAGAAAGGGCGAGAGAGGAAGCAAUAAAGAAGAAGAGAACUGGCGACCUAAAAAGAUGAUCGGCGACGGCAUUCGAAGGUAUUAUGAUAAUAUGAUCAGUGACAGAGAGUACUUAUCCUUCACCGGCAAUCUCUGUCACUACUCAUGUGAUCAUGGACCUCCAAUUUUAACUCAUUCAAAAUUUAGGGUUUUCUCCGAAUUUGGGCCUUUUUAUUUUGGGUCUGAAUUGAAGUAAUUCAAUGCAAUUAAUUGGGGGAUUCAAGUCGAAUUAGGACUCUUAUGCCCGGAGAUGGUUUCAAAACCCCUUUCAAGAAAUUGGUAUUGACUGCGUAUGGGGAGGAAGACGAAGUUCCUAAAGUGAAGGUGGGUAUGGUAUUCCCUGAUUAUGAGGGAAUUGAUGUUCAAUUGAAGGCUUACGGGAGGCAAAAGGGGUUUUGUAUUGUGCGUCGUUGUGGUUCAUUCAAGAAAUGUACUAGUAAUAGCCAGACACAGGAUGGUUUUGAAAUCGGAAAAGUAGUUAAACAGAAGCGUAAGUUUAUGUGGACAAUGCUCUGCCUGAUAGGAAGCGUAAGGGCAAUGGUGAUAGUGUUGCUUCUGAUUCGCAGGUUCAUGUUGGCAGUUGUAAUACCUCGUAUUUUUCUGAAUUUAUAAAUAUAUUUUAAUGUAUUUAUAAAGUAUUUUUAUGAAUUUCACGAAUUUAAUUACAUUUAAUAAUAAUUUAAAUGUAUUUUUAUUUUAAAUAAUAUAAUUUUAUUUUAUUUAUUAAAUCUGAAUUUCUUAAAUAAAUUAAUUAUUUUAUUUUAUUCGGGAAUUUAUUUGGCCGUGUUUUAAAUGUCUGAGCCCAAUUCUAUUUAGUUGGUGAACCCAACAAAGCCUCAAAGCUUUUAAUUCUAAUUUAAACCCAAUUAUAAAGCCCAAUGCUAAACCCUAACCCUAAGCCCACUAGGGAUUAGAAACCUAUAAAUAUAGCCCUUUGCAUUGAUGAUCCCCUCACAAUUUCAUUAAAUUUUCUCUAUCCUCUUUUGCUCUCUCUUUCGUCCGACUCUCUCUCUUAGCUCGUCUCCUAGCCCGCACACAAUGAGCACCUUUGCUCGUCUGCAAGCGCUCGCCUCUCUUCGUGCGUCUUCCCUUGUGCCCUCGUGCACACGCACGUCGCCCGGCCACAACCCACACUCUCUUCGCUCCCUCUCCCCCUCACACACAUCCACGCUUUGUGCGCUGUUGUGCGUUGCUGCGCUGCUGCUUGUUGUUGUGUGUCGUGGUUGUUGCCCCUCACACGCACACACUCUCACCCUCUUUCUCUCGUGCCUGCCAAGCACCGAAGCCCCCGCCCCUAAUGUUGCUGCUUGCUGCCUUCACUGCCCGUGCGCGCACAAUACACACUACUCAUGUGUUGUGUGUUGUUCCGUAUACUCCGUGUAUUUUAGCCCUUUUUGCGCCCAAUCACAUUCAAUUCGUGAUUGUACCGUCCUAUAGGCUGGGCUGGUAUAAUUAUCUUCUUCCUUGCCUAUUCUAUUUCAAUUCCGUAUUUUAAAAUUAUAUUAUUAUUAUUAUUAUUAUUGUUUUUGAUUAAUUAAACUGUUGUGAACGGUUAUGAACACCGUAUUGUGUUUGUUUACGUGUUUGAAUUCAUAAGGAUGAUUUUUAUAAAAGGAACUAUUAUUUUUAGAUUUAAUAAAUUAAUAAAGUGUGGAUUUUUGAUGUUCUGAAGUGAUUUUUAUGAUUAUUUUAUACUAGGGUUUUAAUCCCAAUUUAAUAAGUGAUUGAUUUACAUAAUUUAAUGGUGAUUUAAAUUAGGGAAAUCAAAUGUAAUUUUCAGAUUUAAUCCAAGGUUUUAAAGUGUUGAAUUUAAUGGUUUUAAAGGCAAAGUAUUAAUAUUUUCGUACUAUGACUUUAAUCGUUCAAUUGAGACUAUUAUUUUAAUCAUGAGCAACUAAUUUCUAAUUAAACCAAAGGUUUUAAAACUCUUAAAAGUUGCUGGAAAUUUAGUAAGCAUGGAUAAUAACUAAGUUUUAUUAUUUUAAUUAUAGGAAGUGAUUUCUAGCAUUGACUGUGAUUUGCAAAGUGGCCCCCGUACUCAAAUACUCGAGGUACAUAUUUGCCUAGGGUGACCACCGUUUAAAUGAGGAUUAUGUGACGAUUAUUAUUUGUGAAUCAUGUGAUUGAAGUAUUAUUGAAUUCAGGUUUGAUGUGGUGAACAAGCAUGUUAUGGUUUAUUGUUGAAUUAUGAAGCCUAUGUGAACAGUCAUGUUGUGAUAAUUUAUAAUCGCUGAAUUAUGUCAAGCAUGUUGUUCAAAUUUAUAUGCAUGUAUGAGUGUUUCACAUGCAAGGAUUAUGUUUAUGCUAUUGUACGAGAUGUCUAGCAUACUUUAAGCCAAAUAGUUGUGCCGCAAUGCAAUAUUUAUUCUACCGCCGAGUAGAAUAUGUUUGGGAAGUUUAUGUGAAUAGAACUAAGGACUAUUCGUGCCUUGUGUACACCCCGCUUGUUAACUGGCAAUGUCGGGUUAUCUCAAUAGUAUAUUGAGAAGGAACAAUGAGAGUAAUAUCACUUGAGUCCUAUGUUUGAUCACAUGUCCUAAAGGAUUAAAAUGAAGUGUCAAUGUUUGGUUGCUUGUAUUUUAUGUCUUGUUGUUGUGUCUUGAGUUCACCUUGUGCAUAAAAUAUUAAUUAAUGUAAAGUGCAACCCGAAUGAGCUUUAAAACUCUUGGAACGUAUAUACCUUGAGUAUGAACAAUUGGGGGAGUCUUGCCGGAAAACUUGUACUCCUUAAAUGAUACGUUGUUUCAUUCUUUCUUUUAAGCGCGGGAAUUCCGUCGGUAUGGUUCGAUAUUUAUUACUUUGGUGUGUGGUUGGCUUCCCACACAUUUUUUUUUCCUUUUAUGGAUAUUUUCUUUUACCCGUUCAAAACUAAUGCUUAUUAAUUUUUGAGUCAAGAGCCGUGUCAAGUGUCGAGUCUUGUCUCCAUGGUUACUUGUUAUUAAAUGGCUUUUGUAUGUGGAUUAUUAUAUUGUCGAGUGAAGCAUGUUAGACUAGGAUUUCAUUCUAGCUUGUUCGUACUUAGCAAUAGCUGAUCUUGUGCUUCAUGUCUUUCGGUCAUGGUUUUUUCCUUAAUGACCCUAUGAUGAUACAUCAUUGCAUUUGCGUUGUUGGGGAGUAGAUUUUAAAUAAAAGGUUUUUAGAGAUAACUUGCGGGUGAAGUUAUCAUGGGAUUGAGUUGAGAGAUUAUUUUCUCUUCCGUAUUUAUAAACUCUAUAUUUAAUUUCUAAGUCACGACUUCAGUAUUUUCUUAAACUUUAAUUAAUGGAUUUUCAACUAUUUAAUGUUUUGGUUUGGGCCUUAAUGGUUCCAAGUUGUACGAUGACCAUUAACUAUUUAUUAUAUUUCAAAGUUAGUUAAAUUUCGCUGCGUAAUUCUGGUAAAUAGCCUUAGCCGUUAUCACGGUGGCGGUAAUAUCUUGGUAAUUCCUUUGUUUUAAGUUGGAAAAUAUUUUAUAAAAAGCAAGUAAUUAUUAGGGUGUUACAACAGUGGUGUACGCAUUUCUAAAUGAAUGUCCUGUACGUACAUGUAUUUGCUAGUGUAAAUGAGUUAGGGAAGUGGGUUAUACGGAGAUCAGUCAUGGGACAUGCAAAUCACCACCUAACCCCGGUAAGUCUAGAAAAAUUGCUUCAUUCCGGAAGCGGCUUAUUGAAGAGAAUCCUCAUGUAGGGAGGGAAUUGGUGGUUUGUAGGAAAUUGGUAUGCAGACUAAUCAAGUGUAUAAUUUGAUGUCAAUGCGAAGGAAUGGUAAAAUGUCGUUUUCACAGAAAGAUCUUCAUGAUUAUAUUGCUAAAUUCAGAAAGGAAAAGACGAAAUCCGGUGCUAGGGCGAUGUUUUCCUACUAUGAGAAGAUGAAAGCAGAUAAUUUUGAUUUUUCCGCGUGUUUAGACAAGGGGAAGAUGGUCUUUUGCUGGAUGUUCUUUGGGUUGAUGCUCGUAGUAGAGCGGCGUAUGAGGAUUUUGGCAAUGUUGUAUGUUUUGACACUACCUACUUGACCAAUCAAUAUAAAAUGCCAUUUGCGAAUUUUGCAGGUGUAAAUCAUCAUGGUCAAAGCAUAUUACUUGGAUGUGCGUUGGUUUCACGUGAGAAUGCCGACACCUUUGAGUGGAUAUUUAGUAAUUGGUUGGAAUGUAUGGGAGGUAAAGCCCUUGUAGGGAUAUUGAUUGAUCUGGAUGCUACAAUGAAGAAGGCUUUAAAGUCAACCAUGAGUGAAUCAUGUCAUAGGUGGUGCCUAUGGCACAUUACUCAAAAGUUUUGCAGAAAGUUCAGAAAGAAUGAAGAGUACCUAGAUUUGAAGGAAGACGAUGGUGAUGAAUUCGAAAUGAAUUGGGCAACUGUUAUGAAGCGGUACAACCUAUCAGAUAAUGAUAUUCCUAAAAUACGCGUAGGAAGGCAUAGAAAUUUUUUAUUUCCUUUUUAUAUAGUUGGGCAUACCUAAAUACAUUUAGAAAGUACUAAACUUUGUCAAUUGACAUAAGUGUAGUUGAGUACAUGGGCGGACCUAUAGUGACCCCAUAGGGUCCAUAGGGACCCCAAUUAUUUUUGGAAAAAAAUCAAAAAGUUUAUGUAAUUUGAAUUUUAAAAAAUUAUAUUUGUGGUCCCCAUACUAAAAGCAAUAAAGAAUAAGACAUA